GUGUGAUUUUUCGAGAAAUUUAUCAUUAAAGACAAUUAAACUUGUGUCAUUUCAUCAUCAAUUAGUUAUAUAGGUAAGUUUUACAGGUGACCAUGCUAUUUUUUCUUCUUACAAGAUUUUAUUUUACAAGAAACGAACAUCUGAAAAUGGCAAGUGACGUUGUUAAUUUGGGGAUAAAAAUAUGGCGGGUGUUUUCCCCUUCUGAAAAUAACUGACACAUUUG
rnacentral:lncRNA from 1 species